AGCGAACGUUUGCGGCGGGCUUAACACAUGCAAGUCGAACGAGAAUCCCUUCGGGGAGGAAAGUGGCGCACGGGUGCGUAACACGUGGAUAACCAACCCAUUGGUUUGGGACAACACCGGGAAACUGGUGCUAAUACCAGAUGUGUCGCAGCUGUCUUCAGGCGGUUGCGAGAAAGGCCCGCAAGGGUCGCCAACGGACGGGUCCGCGUCCCAUCAGCUAGUUGGUGAGGUAAUGGCUCACCAAGGCAAAGACGGGUAGCUGGUCUGAGAGGAUGAUCAGCCACACUGGAACUGAGACACGGUCCAGACUCCUACGGGAGGCAGCAGUGGGGAAUAUUGCGCAAUGGGCGAAAGCCUGACGCAGCCACGCCGCGUGAGCGAUGAAGGUCUUCGGAUCGUAAAGCUCUGUGGGGGAGAAGAAGAAAGACCGGUGAAGAGCCGGCCCUGACGGUAUCCCUUACGCAAGCACCGGCUAACUCCGUGCCAGCAGCCGCGGUAAAGU
rnacentral:rRNA from 1 species